rnacentral:rRNA from 1 species
UACGUAGGUGGCAAGCGUUGUUCGGAAUUAUUGGGCGUAAAGGGCGCGUAGGCGGUUUGCUAAGUCAGUUGUGAAAGCCCGGGGCUCAACCCCGGAGGGUCGGCUGAUACUGGUGGACUAGAGUACGGAAGAGGUAGCUGGAAUUCCUGGUGUAGCGGUGAAAUGCGUAGAUAUCGGGAGGAACACCUGAGGCGAAGGCGGGCUACUGGGCCGAUACUGACGCUGAUGCGCGAAAGCCAGGGGAGCAAACGGG